GACGAACGCUGGCGGCGUGCCUAAUACAUGCAAGUAGAACGCUGAAGGAGGAGCUUGCUUCUCUGGAUGAGUUGCGAACGGGUGAGUAACGCGUAGGUAACCUGCCUGGUAGCGGGGGAUAACUAUUGGAAACGAUAGCUAAUACCGCAUAAUAGUAGAUGUUGCAUGACAUUUGCUUAAAAGGUGCAAUUGCAUCACUACCAGAUGGACCUGCGUUGUAUUAGCUAGUUGGUGGGGUAACGGCUCACCAAGGCGACGAUACAUAGCCGACCUGAGAGGGGGAUCGGCCACACUGGGACGGAGACACGGCCCAGACUACUACGGGAGGCAGCAGUAGGGAAUCUUCGGCAAUGGACGGAAGUCUGACCGAGCAACGCCGCGUGAGUGAAGAAGGGUUUCGGAUCGGAAAGCUCUGUUGUAAGAGAAGAACGAGUGUGAGAGUGGAAAGUUCACACUGUGACGGUAUCUUACCAGAAAGGGACGGCUAACUACGUG
rnacentral:rRNA from 1 species